CAAGUACUCUCUCCGUUCAACAAAAUAUGUCUCAAGUUUGUCAAAAUUUGAAUGUAUCUAGACAUGACUUAGUGUAUAGAUGCAUUCAAAUUUAGUUAAAGUUGAGACAUCUUUUAUUAAACCAGAGAAGUGGAGU
rnacentral:pre_miRNA from 1 species